GUAGCGGGAGGAGGGUGGCUCCGCGCGCGGCCGCACCGCGAAACCGUGCCCAUUCGCCUCGACCACGGACGUCCACUCGUUUUCACGUCUCGUGCGAAAACAUGGCGGCCAGCGACGAUGAGCCGAUGCAUCUCUACGAGGUCUUUCAGAACUGCUUCAAUAAGAUCGCCAACAAGCAGCCUGAAAAACCAGGCUUUCAGACGCCAUACGGUUCCACAAUAGACAACGGGAUGGCGUACGGUGGUGG